rnacentral:rRNA from 1 species
UAAUCCACGCCGUAAACGAUGGAUACUAGCUGUCCGGAAUCUUGAAUUCUGGGCGGCCAAGCGAAAGUGAUAAGUAUCCCACCUGGGGAGUACGUUCGCAAGAAUGAAACUCAAAGGAAUUGACGGGGGCCCGCACAAGCGGUGGAGCAUGUGGUUUAAUUCGAUGAUACGCGAGGAACCUUACCAGGGCUUAAAUGCAUAUUGACAGGUCUAGAGAUAGAUUUUCCUUCGGGCAAUUUGCAAGGUGCUGCAUGGUUGUCGUCAGCUCGUGCCGUGAGGUGUCAGGUUAAGUCCUAUAACGAGCGCAACCCCUGCCGUUAGUUGCCAGCAUGUUAUGAUGGGGACUCUAACGGGACUGCCGGUGCAAACCGUGAGGAAGGUGGGGGUGACGGUCAAAUCAUCACGGCCCUUACGUCCUGGGCUACACACGUGCUACAAUGGUAGUGACAGAGAGCAGCUACUGCGCAAGCAGGUGCGAAUCUAUUAAACGCUAU